AACGUUUUCUCUGCUCACAGCUGAUUUGCGAUGACUUUUGACAUUAAUAGCAAAUACGCUCAUAGAUAAAGACUGAUAAGAGAUAAGAUAAGAUAGAUACAGACUGAAUACGCUUGCGUGCGCCGCUCCUACAACUUAUAGAACCAUAGAGAAAGUAAAAUAAGAAAAGAAAGUAAAUUAUUUUACUUACUCUAUGUAUAGAACCGAUCAAGGUCCGAGAGCGCACCUUUAUCGGUUCUUCAAUAUAUCGAACCGCCAGCUCUUAUCGAACGUUUCAGAAACCCAUUUUUCCGACUUAUAGAGCCGUUUAGGCUAUUGGAACUAUAAAGGUCGUUUCAAAAACCGGCCAUAAGACAGCGUUGGCCGUAAACAAGGAACCAAAAAUGAAAAACCCACUUGUCUUUGCAGGCAGCGAAGCCUCCACAUCUGCGCAUUUCAAAGUCCAACGGCAAGAGGGGCUCGAAUGAGUCGCCCGAUCACGUAAAGAGGCAGCGACUCACCAGUGUGGAUUCGCAGCCUCCUCAAUUGUCGCCCUCCGAAAUGCCGUUCUGCAAUGGGCCGCUCGUUGGCGGCACCGAAAGCCUGAAGAUGCCAAAGUUGGAGGAGCAAUAUUCGCCGUCAGACCUGCUGAGGCAUCGGCCAUCGUAGAGAGACGCGGCAAUGAGUACAAUAGAGACUGAACAUGGGCCAUACUUAAGCGAGGAGGACGAGGAACAGAUGAAACGGCACUGAAGAGACGGAGGAGGAGGAUCCGUUUAUCGAGAGCGAGAGCGAGAGGCGCUCCUGCAGAAGACUGAUUUACAUUAGAAAAUUUUUAAAUAAUCUUUAGUUGGUCGGCGGAUACCCUAACAGAGGAGGGAAAUGCGUUUUUUUUUCAUCCCCCCUGAACACUAUGGAAGCGUGAACUGGGAGUGAGACACACACUUCAAAAGAAUUCACCACCAACAUCUCUUUUAGAGAUUUAGACUCGGUUAUUCCCAGCUGAAAGGUGUACUUAAUAGUUAGCAGGUCUUGAAAAAGCCCUUCCAAACUCAAAUUUGCUGUUGUGUUUCACUCCGAUGACCAGAUGGGUAUGUGGACUUGACCAGUGCGAAUCGUCCACGAACGUUAAAUGAAUUGAAAGAGUGCAGCUUGUUUGGGCAAUGGAUAUUUGGUUGCUUGCUGGUACAUAAGUCGAAAGGCACGUGAAACUGCAUCAAUUUCCUUUCGGUUUGGUGCAGUUCUUUGCUCAACCCAGUGCCUACACCGAGCAACAACGAAACUGCAGUUUGCCAACAAUCCAUCUGGUAUCGGUUCGAUCUUUGAUCGUCUUAAUGGAGAAACCUCAAUUAUUUAACGAGGGAGAGAGCUGCGACGUUCCAGAAUUUAAAGUAAAUUAUAAGACUGAAGUACUGAUUAAAAUUUAACAAAACUACCAACUAAUCGAUUUUCUAAAAGGACGUUAUAGAAGCAACGAAAGCGACUUAACGCGUAUUUGGCAGACUCUCUCGAAGCCAGGCCGAGUAUCUACCAGCAAGCGACGCGUUAUCGUUAAUUUCUAGACCGUAAGGAACAUUGUACAAUAUAUUAUAGAUAGAUUUUGUGAAAACCUGUACAGAUUUCUAUUAUUCUCAUAAAUAUUUGUUACGUACGGUAAGAUAAUUCUUAGGAAUACCUGUGAUUGUUGACAUAAGAGCCGUUCGCCGGCGUGUUCAUUGCUGUUCGGCAACAAUAAAUUCAUGGCCCAACAGCACCGAACGCGCCGCUGAAUUUUUGUUAAAUGUGUUAGAACGAGCGAAGUGUUGUUGGGUGAACGCGAUUCGAUCGGCACAGUUUUUUUCCUGUUUUGUUGAUACCUGUUACAUAAGUAAGUUCUUUUGCCCUCAUUUUCCCCCGCAUCGAGGCAUCUAAUCACCCACAGUGUGCUCUUGCCAGACCCUUCCAGUCUUAGCAGUUUGCGCGCUGUGGACACACUAACUGGGAUCUGGGAUGAUGAUAAUUGCUUUGGUUACUGAUGAUUCAUGGGCAACACGGGUCUUGCAAAAGGGUCGAUUCUAGUAGGUUAAGCGACAUUGUAUGAAUCACAUUAUUUGUUUAAUAAAUAAGUCGUUUUUAUUA